AGCAGUAGCCGCGGUAAUACGGAGGGUGCAAGCGUUAAUCGGAAUUACUGGGCGUAAAGCGCACGCAGGCGGCUUCUUAAGUCGGAUGUGAAAUCCCUGAGCUUAACUUAGGAAUUGCAUUCGAUACUGGGAAGCUAGAGUAUGGGAGAGGAUGGUAGAAUUCCAGGUGUAGCGGUGAAAUGCGUAGAGAUCUGGAGGAAUACCGAUGGCGAAGGCAGCCAUCUGGCCUAAUACUGACGCUCAGGUGCGAAAGCGUGGGGAGCAAACAGGAUUAGAUACCCCGGUAGUCCCUGUCUCUUAUAC
rnacentral:rRNA from 1 species